CUCUCUUUUCCUCGCUCUUCCUUCUCCUUUCAUCCUAAUUUCAACUGCCCGACGAUCCGUGUCUAACCCGCGUCUUCUCAGCGGAAGAAAAGACGAGCGCGGAAGCGUAUAAAUAGAAACCCCAAAUCGGGCAAUCCUCUGCUCCGAUCGCGUUUUUCUCACAGGUUUCAGCAUCGGAACACCUUCUCCCGGGCGAAUCCUCGCUUUCAGUCGUCGAAAAUCGGUGUAAGGAUCGCUUUCCAGAGAUUUCGAUCCCGAUCGUGGAACCGAUCGCGUGUGGCGGUCUGAUCGAUUAUAUUAUUGGUUUUGGAGGUGACUGUAACGAAGUUUAGCAAUUUGAAGUGGACAAGCUCCUGUUCGGAGGCGAUUGGCGGAUUCGAUCGGAAAAGAGCGGUUUCCGACGAGUCGGAUGCAUUUGGGAUGGGAUUCUGUCGGAAUAUGUUGAAUCGAAUCACUGGAUAGAUCGAAAUGCCGUUUUACAUUGCUCGCGAGGGUUCGAAGCUAUGGAGGAGGGUUUCAAUGGAGACGUUGGUGGAGUUGCAUCUCCUUGCAGAGAAAUGGAAACUUCUUCUGGCGGGAUUGAUUUUCCAGUAUAUUCAUGGAUUAGCUGCUCGAGGAGUUCACUAUUUACAUCAACCUGGACCAACACUUCAGGAUGUUGGGUUUAUCAUUCUCCCGGAGCUCGGACAAGACAAAGCUUACAUCAGUGAGACCAUAUUCACCUUAGUCUUCAUCUCUUUUGUCUUGUGGACUUUUCAUCCCUUCAUUUUUCAAAGCAAAAAAUUCUACACGGUUCUGCUCUGGUGCAGGGUUCUGGCAUUUCUAGUUGCUUCGCAAAUUCUUCGAAUCAUUACCUUUUAUUCUACUCAGCUUCCUGGUCCGAACUACCACUGUCGUGAGGGUUCUAAACUUGCCAGACUCCCUCGUCCAGACAGUGCACUGGAAGUACUUCUAAUUAAUUUUCCUCGGGGUGUAAUAUAUGGUUGUGGUGACUUGAUUUUUUCAUCGCACAUGAUCUUUACUCUUGUUUUCGUGCUCACAUAUCAGAAGUAUGGCUCAACAAGGUGUAUUAAACAGCUUUCUUGGUUCAUUGCUGUUAUUCUCAGCCUCCUGAUUAUAGCUUCCCGCAAACAUUACACUGUUGACAUUGUUGUUGCAUGGUAUACAGUGAACUUAGUGUUUUUCUUCAUCGACAAGAAACUACCAGAACUGCCUGACCGUACCAUUGGGAUCCAGUCUCCUUUGUUGCCUUUGAGCACAAAAGAUAAAGAUGCCAAAUCCAAAGAAGAACAUCACAAGCUGUUGAAUGGGAACUCUGGGGAUGCUGCUGAUUGGAGACAGAGAACACAAGUCAACGGAAAGCUUCUAGAGGAUGGGAACACUGUCCAUGCUGAUACGCAGAUGAAUGGUAAAUAGCUGAUGCAGAUCCUGAUGUAGCACUUAGAGCCCAUGCGAAAACUUCCCCGGCCAUUGCUCCAUUGCAAUUUGUAUUUUCAGAGGGAAUUAGAUUUCACCUUCUGUCAAUUACAGUCCUGCUCUUAUCAUAGCGUCAUCCCAUUGUCACAUGUAUCAUGGAGCAGUUCUGUCGGACUCUCUAUAACAAUUUUCACCACGCAGUCAGUCACAUGAAAAAUACAUCUCUGUAGAGAAGAAAGGCUCCCAAGGAGCCAACAUGCUUUCAGCGCUUUAAAACAUUCAAGAGCGUGAAAAUCCACUCGGUUCAUCGUACUGGAGCAAAAAAUCAGCCAGGUCCACUUGUUAUGUAGGAUAUAUCACAGCCAACAAUGGGGAUGGGAUCUCAACCACAGGUUUUUAUAUUAGGGCCACCAAGUUGUGUAUCUUUCAUAAAUUUAUAGUAGGGCCACCAAAUUGUGUAUCUUUCAUAAAACCCUGUAAUUGGGUGUACACUCACUGUACGGGGAGAAUAUGCAAAAAUCAGCCUAAUCCAUUACUCAGGUGGGCCACAACAUGUGAAUUUUGGGUUUAUUUGGGUACUAUCAAAAUUUUGUUUGGAUAGAACUUUUUGAACACCUUUGUUCAAGUAAGAGUGUUCGAACAAGCUUGUAUGAAUGGAUUAUUUUGUUGAAUUAUUUAUUGUCUGUCAAACGCUCUACUUAGAUGAGCAUA